UACGAAGGGGGCUAGCGUUGCUCGGAAUCACUGGGCGUAAAGCGCACGUAGGCGGCUUGUUAAGUCAGGGGUGAAAUCCUGGAGCUCAACUCCAGAACUGCCUUUGAUACUGGCGAGCUUGAGUCCGGGAGAGGUGAGUGGAACUGCGAGUGUAGAGGUGAAAUUCGUAGAUAUUCGCAAGAACACCAGUGGCGAAGGCGGCUCACUGGCCCGGUACUGACGCUGAGGUGCGAAAGCGUGGGGAGCAAACAGGGAUUAAGAA
rnacentral:rRNA from 1 species